UUUUAGUACAUGCAAUGCAAUCG
rnacentral:siRNA from 1 species